rnacentral:tRNA from 1 species
GCUUGGGUAGCUCAGUUGGUAGAGCACUUGCCCGCGAAAGGCAAAGGUCCCGAGUUCGAGUCUCGGCCCGACCCCGGCA